CAGGAAGUAGUUUAAUUAGAAUGUCAGCUUUGGGUGUUGAUGGUAGGGUAAUGUGCCUUCUUCUUGA
rnacentral:tRNA from 1 species